GACGAACGCUGGCGGCGCGCCUAACACAUGCAAGUCGAACGGAGUUGUGUUGAAAGCUUGCUGGAUAUACAACUUAGUGGCGGACGGGUGAGUAACACGUGAGUAACCUGCCUCUCAGAGUGGAAUAACGUUUGGAAACGGCUGCUAAUACCGCAUGACGCAUGACUGGGGCAUCCCGGACAUGCCAAAAGAUUUUAUCGCUGAAAGAUGGCCUCGCGUCUGAUUAGCUGGUUGGUGAGGUAACGGCCCCACCAAGGCGACGAUCAGUAGCCGGACUGAGAGGUUGACCGGCCACAUUGGGACUGAGAUACGGCCCAG
rnacentral:rRNA from 1 species